AACGAACGCUGGCGGCAGGCCUAACACAUGCAAGUCGAGCGCCCCGCAAGGGGAGCGGCGGACGGGUGAGUAACGCGUGGGAACGUACCUUUUGCUUCGGAAUAGCCUCGGGAAACUGGGAGUAAUACCGAAUGUGCCCUACGGGGGAAAGAUUUAUCGGCAAAAGAUCGGCCCGCGUUGGAUUAGGUAGUUGGUGGGGUAAUGGCCUACCAAGCAGACGAUCCAUAACUGGUUUGAGGGGAUGAUCAGCCACACUGGGACUGAGACACGGCCCAGACGCCUACGGGAGGCAGCAGAGGGGAAUUUUAGACAAUGGGCGCAAGCCUGAUCUAGCCAUGCCGCGUGAGCGAUGAAGGCCUUAGGGUUGUAAAGCUCUUUCGUGGGGGAAGAUAAUGACUGUACCCCAAGAAGAAGCCCCGGCUAACUCCGUGCCAGCCGCCGCCGUAAAAC
rnacentral:rRNA from 1 species